CCCGAGGCCGAGCCGGGGGUGGGGGCUCGGAGGCCGAGCGCCCGCGGCUGUGGGCGAGUGUCCGUGCGGCCUGGUCCGGGCCAUGACUGUGUGAGGCCGCCGCAGCUGCCCCUGUCCCAGCCUCGGCCCAGCCCGCCUCGCACCAUGGGCUCCAUCCUGAGCCGCCGCAUCGCGGGCGUGGAGGACAUUGACAUCCAGGCGAACUCGGCCUAUCGCUACCCACCGAAGUCCGGAAACUACUUUGCCUCGCACUUUUUCAUGGGAGGUGAGAAAUUUGACACCCCCCACCCUGAAGGGUACCUCUUUGGAGAGAACAUGGAUCUGAACUUCCUGGGCAACCGCCCGGUCCAGUUUCCUUAUGUCACCCCCGCCCCCCACGAGCCAGUGAAGACGCUGAGGAGCCUGGUGAACAUCCGCAAAGACUCUCUCCGGCUUGUGAGGUACAAAGAUGGUGCCGACAGCCCCACCGAGGAUAGCGAGAAGCCCCGGGUCCUCUACAGCCUGGAGUUCACCUUCGAUGCUGAUGCCCGGGUGGCCAUCACCAUCUACUGCCAGGCGGUGGAGGAGUUCCUGAAUGGCACGGCCACGUACAGCCCCAAGAGCCCAGCCCUGCAGUCUGAGACCGUCCACUACAAGCGCGGGGUGAGCCAGCAGUUCUCCCUGCCCUCCUUCAAGAUCGACUUCUCCGAGUGGAAGGACGACGAGCUGAACUUCGACCUGGACCGGGGUGUGUUCCCAGUGGUCAUCCAGGCUGUGGUAGAUGAGGGGGACGUCGUGGAAGUGACCGGCCACGCCCACGUGCUAUUGGCUGCCUUUGAAAAGCACGUCGACGGCAGCUUCUCCGUGAAGCCUUUGAAGCAGAAGCAGAUUGUGGACCGGGUGAGCUACUUGCUCCAGGAGAUCUACGGCAUCGAGAACAAGAACAACCAGGAGACCAAGCCCUCGGACGAGGAGAACAGCGACAACAGCAACGAGUGUGUGGUGUGCCUGUCGGACCUGCGGGACACACUGAUCCUGCCCUGCCGCCACCUGUGCCUCUGCAACUCGUGUGCGGACACACUGCGCUACCAGGCCAGCAACUGCCCCAUCUGCCGGCUGCCUUUCCGGGCCCUGCUGCAGAUCCGGGCAGUGAGGAAGAAGCCAGGGGCCCUGUCCCCCAUCUCCUUCAGCCCCGUUUUGGCCCAGAGCAUGGACCAUGAGGAGCAUUCUUGUCCCUUUAAAAAAUCAAAGUCGCACCCCGCCUCACUGGCCAGCAAGAAACCUAAAAGGGAAACACAUCACCACCCAGGAGGGGAGUUUUGUGGAACAAGCAAAGCUCAAGGUCUGUUGGCGCAAAGCCGGUCUCGCGGUCCCGCCGGGCAGCAGCGCCAGCCCCAGGCGCCCCUUCUCGCCAGCUCUGCCUCCACCCGGCCUCCUGAAUGCCCUGGUUUCCCUUUUUUUUCUUGCUGGCAGUGGAAUGGCGUUGGAGGUGGAACUAAGGCUUCUGCUCUUGUUGCAAAUGUCCCUCGUGCUUGCUCGUCCUGCAUCCCUGCUCUGCGGGCCGACACUUGGAUUCCUCGCAUUUUCCCUGCAUCUCGGGCAGCAGGCUGGGGACCAGGCAGCGGGUGGCGAUCGCUGGGCUGGGCCUCAGCCUGGAGCCUCUGCUGAGCCCCACGCCCCCCAUAGAGUCGGGGUCACGGAGGGUCAGCCCAGCGCGAGGAUUUCCUCCUGUUUCGAGGGGCGAAGGGGUUCAGAGUAAUUAUUUGCCUUUAAACUGAGGGUGGGAUGGGAGCAAAUGCCGGCCCUGUGGUCGCAGGGGACUCGGGUGGGCCUUGCUGAGGGCGGGAAGCCCCACCCGGCUCCCAUGCCUCCCCCGGGUCCCCCUCACCUCCCUGCAGGGCAGCGGCCCUUCCCGCCGCAAGUCAGCCGGGCAGGCGGCGUUCCAGGUGGAGAGCGCUGCCCUUCGCCUUGUCAAGGAGGGUGAUGGCGGGUCGCUGCCGUGUCCGUACCUGGCACCUGCCCUCCCUUUGCCUUGAAUCCUCAAGCGAGACUCAGCCUGUUGAUUUGAUCCACUCCCAGGGAGGGCGAAACUCGUUCUGAGCAGGGUGCCCCUCAGACUCCCCAGCCCGAGUCGGCCCUGCGGCUGCUCAUCCGCCCUGUGGCCGGCUGGUCGCCCCAGGCCUGCGGAGGCUCUUGGCGGUGCCGGGCGGGGCCUCCCUGGGCUAGACCACCGGCUCCCACCGGUUUCUCCCGCCUCUGCUCUGGCUUUGCUCCCCUCCUGCGCCUGCCCCUCCUCCCACUAACCCCUCUCUCACUCUCCGCCGCCACCAGGCAGGAGCGGGAAGCCAGGUAGGGGCUGGCUGAGGAUGGGGCGGGGGUGGCCUUCCCCGGUGCCCUCUCGUCCUCUGUCCUGGGCACUGACAGGGGCACGUGGGCGGCCAGGGCUGCAUGCUGCAGCUGACGGCCGAGGGUGCCUGGGGCAGGGUGCUGAUGAGGGGGCGUGUGUCCCUCGGAGGCAGAGGGGACAGGAGGUGGUCAGACCAUCUGGCCGCCCUGGGCACGAGGCCCUCACCCACCCUUGUCCCCGCAGAGCUCCGACAGCAUCCCGCCCGGCUACGAGCCCAUCUCCCUGCUUGAGGCGCUCAACGGCCUCCGGGCCGUGUCCCCGGCCGUCCCCUCGGCCCCCCUUUAUGAAGAGAUCACCUACGCGGGCGUCUCAGACGGCCUCUCCCAGGCCACCUGUCCGCUUGCUGCGAUGGAUCGGAUCAUGGAAAGCGGCCACCACAAGGGCAAGCCCCGGAGCAAGUCCCCCGACAGCACCAUGCGGUCCCCCUCGUCGCCCAUCCAUGAAGAGGACGACUCGGAGGCUCUGCCCCCGCUGAGCAGAGCGGGGCUGGCGCUGAGCAGCUCCCCCGAGAGCUUCCUAACGGAGGAGGUUGAUGAGACUGUGUCACUAAAGCAAGGGAGUCGAGUGCCGUCCAUCGAGAACGUCCUGCAGGAUGGCAGCCCUGAGCCUCGUGGCCGCGGCCAGUCCAGCGCCCCUGCUGACAUCUACCUGCCAGCCCUGGGGCCCGGCUCCUGCUCCGGUGCUUUAGAGGAGUAAGCUGGAUGGUCCACCUCCAUGGAGACGCCCCGCAGCCUGCACACCACCGGGCCCCCCCGGCCUCCACUUGGUGGCCCCAGUCCUGACCCUGGGGCCGCCGAGCUGACCCCACUCUGAGAGCCUGGCCUGGCUCCCCGGACUUGGCCGAGGGCCGUGGACUCCAGCGCAACCCCUGGCCUCUCCAGUCUGCAAGUUCUGCGUGGUCACUGGCUGCGAGGAGCUGUGUGACCCUUGACCGAAGAGCACAGUUGACUGUCCCCUCUGACGACCCUUUUUCUACAGUCCAUGUAUUUGUAAAUGGUACAAGAUGAAGGACAGUGGCUUUCUGUCCCGGGCGCUGAGCUCUGGGUCCUUCCCAAUGCCCCGGGGCCGGGCACCCGUGUGCAGCCUCACCCAGCCCCCGAGCCGUGGCGGCCGAUGCCCGGGAACUGAGGGACACGCUGGAGAAGAGGAGUUCCUGGGCGGUGAGGUGCUGCCUUCACGGGGACGCGCGGGGCCCCUGGAAGGAGAGGAGGUGGGGUCUGAGUCUCAGGCCGGGAAGGAGACUGCCCCUGCCCUCCCCCUGCACAGCUUGGCGAGGCUCGGCCAGGUUUGGGUCUGGGCAUGGGCGGUGUGGUGCCUGAGAGCCCUUCCCAGCGGCAGCUUUGCCCACGGCACCAGACCCUCUGGGCCGGGGCUCUGCUCGGCGAGCGGCACGCCAUCACCUGCUCUGGAAGGCGCUGGUGGCUUCUCUGCUCCCUCUGCCGUAGAUGGCACUGAGAAUUUGCUUUGAUUUGUUCCCGUCUGGGGCUCCUGUGGCGGGAUGUCCCUGGGGACGAGGGCCCCAUGUGAGGUGACCUCGCCUUCUCUUAAAGACAAACUUGCGGGCAACAGAAAGGCAGACAGCGUGCUUGGCCCUGGUGCCUCUGGAUGAGAGCUGCCCCAGUGGGACCUUAGCCUGGCGGCGGCGGGUCUGCACUCCCCGUGCCAGCGCUUUCCUAGCAGGUGGGAAGGAUGGUGCUGGGCAGCCGACCACACAGCCUGAGGCUCUGAUGAGUGGGGUGCUCGGAAUGGGCGCCUCCUUCUCUCUCCAGUUGAGCCUAUGAACAGAGGCCACACUGCAGGCGCCCUGCCUCCCGUCCUGCCCGCCGUGUGCUCGUGGGUGCACAGAUGCCACACACGCACAUGACCGUCUCCCUCUCCUCACCCCUCUCCUCUCACUGGCCAACACCCCCCGCCUCUCACCAUUGGUUUUGGGGCCAGUAACUGAAGGGCGGGGUGCAGACUGGCCUGUCUUGGACUUAACACGUGCUACCAUUUGAUGUACUCUGAUUGGCUAGUUUUUGUUCGUUUUUACUGUAUAUUUAUAGUAAUAAAAUCAUGCAGCAAUA